AUAUAUAUAUAUAUACUAGAACACACCCGUGAUAUCACGGGUCCGUGACUGAAUUAAAGUAUAUAACUAUGCGCAAGCCUUAUUUUAGUAUUAGUAUUGUCAUCUGAUAAAGUCAUGUCGAUUAUAAGAUACACAGUUUUUCUCUGCUUUCAAGUCUUUCUGUUUGAACCCGUUGAACUGGAACUUAUCAGUUAUUGGUAAUAUUAAUUAUUUGGAAAACAAAAGGUCCUGGAAUGGAGUAUUUUUUAAUCAACAGCAUUGUCCUAUAUAAGUUAUAAAUAAAGUUGAAUUCUUUGCUUUGCUGUUUUACGUCAUGCCCACUAACAAAUUGAAAACUGU
rnacentral:lncRNA from 1 species